ensembl:snRNA U1 U1 spliceosomal RNA
ACGCUUACCUGACAAGGGAGACGCCAUGACCAGGAAGGUGGUUUUCCCAUGCUGAGCCUCGUCCACUGCAAUCAGGAUGUGCUGACCCUGCAAUUUCCCCAAACAUGGGAAACUCGCCUGCAUACUUUGUGAUACUUGGGAACUGUGUUUGCACCCUCCCAU